rnacentral:rRNA from 1 species
CCUACGGGUGGCAGCAGUGAGGAAUAUUGGUCAAUGGACGAGAGUCUGAACCAGCCAAGUAGCGUGAAGGAUGACUGCCCUAUGGGUUGUAAACUUCUUUUAUAUGGGAAUAAAAUGUUCCACGUGUGGGAUUUUGUAUGUACCAUAUGAAUAAGGAUCGGCUAACUCCGUGCCAGCAGCCGCGGUAAUACGGAGGAUCCGAGCGUUAUCCGGAUUUAUUGGGUUUAAAGGGAGCGUAGGUGGAUUGUUAAGUCAGUUGUGAAAGUUUGCGGCUCAACCGUAAAAUUGCAGUUGAGACUGGCAGUCUUGAGUGCAGUAGAGGUGGGCGGAAUUCGUGGUGUAGCGGUGAAAUGCUUAGAUAUCACGAAGAACUCCGAUUGCGAAGGCAGUUCACUGGACUGCAACUGACACUGAGGCUCGAAAGUGUGGGUAUCAAACAGGAUUAGAUACCCGUGUAGUC